AUGAACGACUAUGCCACGUGUUUGUUUACUGUGCCGAAGGGAAAAUUAAAAACGCGUCCAGCCUCCUCCUCCCCUUUUCUCUCUCUCUCUCGUUUUCCACCCCAGCUAGGGUUGCCGCCGCCGCCGCCCCAUCGCUCCUCGUCGACCUGGAAGCUUGAGGCGUCGCCGCCGCGGUCAGACGAGCCGCCGACGGACGCGGGGAGGAGGAGCUCGUCGGGGGCGUUCCCGCGCAAGCUGGGCGCCAGCCUGUGGGAGAUACGGGACGUCGUCAGGGCCGUGGGCGCUGGCCGCCGGAUCCGCAGGCGCGCGCGGAGGGGGCCGGCCGCACCCCCCUGCCGCGACAGCGACGACGACGACGUCGAUCGAUCGGGUGAGAAGUCCGCUACCGCCCUCUGUUUUUUCAUUGUCAACAUCGGUUGCGGUCUGUCCUUGCAGUCUUUCCCAAAGCUCCGUACAUACUCUACACUGGCAUCAUGUGUCAUUGUCGCUGAAUUUUCAGUGGAUCAAUAUGUUAGAAUUAGUUCCUAA
rnacentral:rRNA from 1 species